rnacentral:rRNA from 1 species
CCACUUGCAUGCACAGUACGGCGAGUGAGCGGCAACAGCUCAAUUUGAAAGCUAGCCUUCGGGUUCGCAUUGUAAUUUGUAGAGGAUGCUUUGGGUAAAACGCCAGUCUAAGUUCCUUGGAACAGGACGUCAUAGAGGGUGAGAAUCCCGUAUGUGACUGGAAAUGUUAACCUAUGUAAAGCUCCUUCGACGAGUCGAGUUGUUUGGGAAUGCAGCUCUAAAUGGGAGGUAAAUUUCUUCUAAAGCUAAAUAUUGGCGAGAGACCGAUAGCGCACAAGUAGAGUGAUCGAAAGAUGAAAAGCACUUUGGAAAGAGAGUUAAAAAGCACGUGAAAUUGUUGAAAGGGAAGCGCUUGCAAUCAGACUUGUUUAAACUGUUCGGCCGGUCUUCUGACCGGUUUACUCAGUUUGGACAGGCCAGCAUCAGUUUCGGCGGCCGGAUAAAGGCUCUGGGAAUGUGGCCUCCACUUCGGUGGAGGUGUUAUAGCCCAGUGUGUAAUACGGCCAGCCGGGACUGAGGUCCGCGCUUCGGCUAGGAUGCUGGCGUAAUGGUUGUAAGCGACCCGUCUUGAACC